ACUCUGAGCAGCGUAUUACUCUGCUCACGGGUCGAUGAAGAAAGCAUGCAGUAGCGAGAUUUAGUGUCAAUUGCAGAACACAUCGAGAACGAAUUUCUCGAACGCACAUAGUGGCUUAGGGUCGUACUCGGAGC